rnacentral:misc_RNA from 1 species
GAUGAAGAACGUAGUGAAAUGCGAUAAGUAGUGUGAAUUGCAGAAUUCAGUGAAUCAUCGAAUCUUUGAACGCACAUUGCGCCCCUUGGUAUUCCAUGGGGCAUGCCUGUUCGAGCGUCAUUUGUACCCUCAAGCUUUGCUUGGUGUUGGGUGUUUGUCCUCUCCUUUGCGUUUGGACUCGCCUUAAAGCAAUUGGCAGCCAGUGUUUUGGUAUUGAAGCGCAGCACAAUUUGCGAUUCUAACCGACUACACUUGCGUCCAUAAGCCUUUUUUAACUUUUGACCUCGGAUCAGGUAGGGAUACCCGCUGAACUUAAGCAUAUCAAUAAGCGGAGGA